rnacentral:lncRNA from 1 species
AAGCGUAUUUUUGUAGAGGGCAGCACCUAUUAUAUACAGAGUCAUUAGAAUGACGAGGAAAAUUUAUUGAAGCGUUCAGCUGAUGAACGAUAAACAAACAUAAGGAUCAAAUCAUUCAGUUAUUAUGUCAACAUUAGCCUUUCAGUCAUCAAUAAUAUUUCUUAAAAUCUUAAUAAAUUCAUAAUUAGUGAUAAAAUAACCUUCUAAUUUUUACAAAAGGAGUUUGGUAUUAGAGUUUAAUGCCUUCUUGCAUUGCAUUCAAUUGUACUUCAAGAACGCCGGCUUUUUUUAGAUCAUUAGAGCACGAUCUUGCUAUUAAAUUGAGGAAGAAAUGUGAACUUAACCACAAUUAUGUGAAAAUAAGCUUUUUUCAAUAAGUAUUUUCAUAACUUUAUAAAACAAUCAUAUGUUUUGGCAUCCUUGUUUGUUGUUACUCAAUUUAAUAUUCCAUAUAUAUCAAACCAUCUAUUUUCAGAUGUCCUAAAAAUCCAGUGCUUCUAAAGCCGUCGCCAAGAUUGGAAACAAAUCAAAUCGUCAAGGAUAUGUUUUAAGCACUUCAAGGACUCUGACAUCAUUAAGCACAAAAUUAACUGCUCUCUUGUUAGUUGUUGAUGGAUCAGUGUCCCCCAUUUUCGAAUUUCCAAUGCACUUAAAAAAAGUGGAGCCCCUUCGACGAAUCUUAAAGUGAAGAACUUAUGAAGAAGACAGUACUACAAAAAUGAAUUCUGAUGAUAUGAUUGAAAAAAGGUCAACUAUAAAUAUAUUCAUUACUCAUAAAUGUACCCUACUUAGUACUAUGGAACCCUCGGGGGUGAUGAAAAAAUAGAGCACAAAGAGACAUCCGGAAAUCAAGUUAGCAGUUAUAGUUGAUAGUUGCCAUAUCUUAUUCAGUUUAAGAAUCAAUAAUUUGAAAAAUAUCAAUAAUAGGGUGAAAGACUUAAUUUUAUUAUUAUUUAAUAUUUUGUACAAUAAAUGAUACUUUAUUGA